rnacentral:rRNA from 1 species
CACUAUCGUUAACUGAAUACAUAGGUUAACGAGGCGAACCGGGGGAACUGAAACAUCUAAGUACCCCGAGGAAAAGAAAUCAACCGAGAUUCCCCCAGUAGCGGCGAGCGAACGGGGAGCAGCCCAGAGUCUGAAUCAGCUUGUGUGUUAGUGGAAGCGUCUGGAAAGUCGCACGGUACAGGGUGAAAGUCCCGUACACGAAAAUGCACAGGCUGUGAACUCGAAGAGUAGGGCGGGACACGUGGUAUCCUGUCUGAAUAUGGGGGGACCAUCCUCCAAGGCUAAAUACUCCUGACUGACCGAUAGUGAACCAGUACCGUGAGGGAAAGGCGAAAAGAACCCCGGCGAGGGGAGUGAAAAAGAACCUGAAACCGUGUACGUACAAGCAGUGGGAGCACCUUCGGGUGUGACUGCGUACCUUUUGUAUAAUGGGUCAGCGACUUAUAUUCUGUAGCAAGGUUAACCGUAUAGGGGAGCCGAAGGGAAACCGAGUCUUAACUGGGCGUUAAGUUGCAGGGUAUAGACCCGAAACCCGGUGAUCUAGCCAUGGGCAGGUUGAAGGUUGGGUAACACUAACUGGAGGACCGAACCGACUAAUGUUGAAAAAUUAGCGGAUGACCUGUGGCUGGGGGUGAAAGGCCAAUCAAACCGGGAGAUAGCUGGUUCUCCCCGAAAGCUAUUUAGGUAGCGCCUCGUGAACUCAUCUUCGGGGGUAGAGCACUGUUUCGGCUAGGGGGCCAUCCCGGCUUACCAACCCGAUGCAAACUACGAAUACCGAAGAAUGUUAUCACGGGAGACACACGGCGGGUGCUAACGUCCGUCGUGAAGAGGGAAACAACCCAGACCGCCAGCUAAGGUCCCAAAGUCAUGGUUAAGUGGGAAACGAUGUGGGAAGGCCCAGACAGCCAGGAUGUUGGCUUAGAAGCAGCCAUCAUUUAAAGAAAGCGUAAUAGCUCACUGGUCGAGUCGGCCUGCGCGGAAGAUGUAACGGGGCUAAACCAUGCACCGAAGCUGCGGCAGCGACACUCUGUGUUGUUGGGUAGGGGAGCGUUCUGUAAGCCGUUGAAGGUGGCCUGUGAGGGUUGCUGGAGGUAUCAGAAGUGCGAAUGCUGACAUAAGUAACGAUAAAGCGGGUGAAAAGCCCGCUCGCCGGAAGACCAAGGGUUCCUGUCCAACGUUAAUCGGGGCAGGGUGAGUCGACCCCUAAGGCGAGGCCGAAAGGCGUAGUCGAUGGGAAACAGGUUAAUAUUCCUGUACUUGGUGUUACUGCGAAGGGGGGACGGAGAAGGCUAUGUUAGCCGGGCGACGGUUGUCCCGGUUUAAGCAUGUAGGCGGAGGUUCCAGGUAAAUCCGGUACCUUUUAACGCUGAGGUGUGAUGACGAGGCACUACGGUGCUGAAGUAACAAAUGCCCUGCUUCCAGGAAAAGCCUCUAAGCAUCAGGUAACAUCAAAUCGUACCCCAAACCGACACAGGUGGUCAGGUAGAGAAUACCAAGGCGCUUGAGAGAACUCGGGUGAAGGAACUAGGCAAAAUGGUGCCGUAACUUCGGGAGAAGGCACGCUGAUAUGUAGGUGAAGCCCCUGCGGGUGGAGCUGAAAUCAGUCGAAGAUACCAGCUGGCUGCAACUGUUUAUUAAAAACACAGCACUGUGCAAACACGAAAGUGGACGUAUACGGUGUGACGCCUGCCCGGUGCCGGAAGGUUAAUUGAUGGGGUUAGCGGCAACGCGAAGCUCUUGAUCGAAGCCCCGGUAAACGGCGGCCGUAACUAUAACGGUCCUAAGGUAGCGAAAUUCCUUGUCGGGUAAGUUCCGACCUGCACGAAUGGCGUAAUGAUGGCCAGGCUGUCUCCACCCGAGACUCAGUGAAAUUGAACUCGCUGUGAAGAUGCAGUGUACCCGCGGCAAGACGGAAAGACCCCGUGAACCUUUACUAUAGCUUGACACUGAACACUGGUCCUUGAUGUGUAGGAUAGGUGGGAGGCUUUGAAGCGUGGACGCCAGUCUGCGUGGAGCCGUCCUUGAAAUACCACCCUUUAAUGGCUGGUGUUCUAACGUAGACCCGUAAUCCGGGUUGCGGACAGUGUCUGGUGGGUAGUUUGACUGGGGCGGUCUCCUCCCAAAGAGUAACGGAGGAGCACGAAGGUUAGCUAAUCCUGGUCGGACAUCAGGAGGUUAGUGCAAUGGCAUAAGCUAGCUUGACUGCGAGAGUGACGGCUCGAGCAGGUGCGAAAGCAGGUCAUAGUGAUCCGGUGGUUCUGAAUGGAAGGGCCAUCGCUCAACGGAUAAAAGGUACUCCGGGGAUAACAGGCUGAUACCGCCCAAGAGUUCAUAUCGACGGCGGUGUUUGGCACCUCGAUGUCGGCUCAUCACAUCCUGGGGCUGAAGUAGGUCCCAAGGGUAUGGCUGUUCGCCAUUUAAAGUGGUACGCGAGCUGGGUUUAGAACGUCGUGAGACAGUUCGGUCCCUAUCUGCCGUGGGCGCUGGAGAAUUGAGGGGGGCUGCUCCUAGUACGAGAGGACCGGAGUGGACGCAUCACUGGUGUUCGGGUUGUCAUGCCAAUGGCACUGCCCGGUAGCUAAAUGCGGAAGAGAUAAGUGCUGAAAGCAUCUAAGCACGAAACUUGCCCCGAGAUGAGUUCUCCCUGA